rnacentral:rRNA from 1 species
UACGGAGGGUGCGAGCGUUGUCCGGAAUCACUGGGCGUAAAGGGCGCGUAGGCGGCGCGGGAAGUCCGUGGUGAAAGCCCGAGGCUCAACUUCGGGUCGGCCAUGGAUACUCCUGGGCUCGAGCACUGUAGAGGCAGGUGGAAUUCCGGGUGUAGCGGUGGAAUGCGUAGAGAUCCGGAAGAACACCGGUGGCGAAGGCGGCCUGCUGGGCAGUAGCUGGACGCUGAGGCGCGACGCGUGGGGGAGCAAACAGG